AAUUUUUAUCAUGCAGAAAAAAAAAAGUAACCUUUAUAGACAGAUUCUUAUGUCUUUUUGUUGAAUUAUUUGAAUGUGGGUCGCUAUGGGAGUAUGCGUUGAAUGGUGAAUAAUCUGCUAAAUAAGAAACCAGAAUGAGUGAGCAGAAUGCAGCUAAUUGACACGUUCCUCUGUUUUCUUAUGAAAUGAAAGGAUGGAAAACUAGAUUUUCAAAUGUCAGUUUGUAGGAAUGACAGUAUGAUAUUGAGUUUUAAUUUAGAAAUCUUCACUCAAGUACUGAAAUUCCGAAAUAAAGGAAAAAUGUCGUUGUAACCAUGAAAAUUGUAAAUGAAUCCCAUCCUAGGUGAUAAAGUUGGUUCAUAGCAUCAAAUGGAAUGUUAAAAUUAGAGUGUGUAGUAAUUCAAACUUGAAAAACGAGGAACGCUUGAAGUGAUUAGUCUUAUUGGUUAGACAUCGUUUGAAAAUUUGUUGUUCUACCCUAUGAGGAAUGGGGAACUUUUUUUUAACAUCUGAAGAAGAAAAAAGAAACGACAAAUAAAACACGCAUUAUUGUAGUGCAAAUGCUUUAGUAACAAUAUUUAUCUAUAGCCAAUCUCUAGCCAUUUUCUUGUUGGAAAAUAACAAUCUUGCUUGCAUUUUUCCAUAUAUUGAGUGAACUUCAAUAUUGGCUUCGUUUUUUUCUCCCUCCUGAUUUUCUUAUAGAUUACGGUUUUGCUAACAAUUGUAGGAUACUGUUUUUGUGGAAACCAGUUGUUCUUGAAAAGAUACAUGAUGAAUAUUUGAAAUGAUUAAGCAUCCUUUUUCACCAAGUGCUCUCUCUUUCUAGAUUCUAUACAUUUUUAUUUUGUAGCGAGAUUGCAGUUACAAUUAGUUUCAUAGUUUAAUCUGUUAUUCUAGAAAAAUGCUACUUAUCUUUUUAUUUUUGCUUUAUAAAACAAUAUAUUUAGCUUUCGUCUUCCAUUGUCAGCUUCAGGAUUCUGCUGUGCUAGUUUCUUCCUCGAACAUGAUGCAAUGUAAUUUAUCGUAGCACAAAUGCAAAUAAUUGACCCUUAAAAUAAAGUGGAUGAUGUUUUUCCGUCCUUUUACUUCUAAAUUGGCUCUAGCUCCGGCAUAACUAUAUACGAACAUUCUUUGAGAGUAAUGCUAAUUGUGCAGUUUGAUUCAAAUGGAAGGCAGUGCCUUACAACGUCUGGUUAUCGAGAAAUUGGGCAGAUAGUGCGUAGCCUGGCAGAUAAACACAGUGGUGGCCGCCUCCUUAUCGUGCAAGAGGGUGGAUAUCACAUAACAUACUCCGCUUAUUGCCUUCAUGCCACACUUGAAGGUGUGCUUAAUAUUCCUGUUCCUCUUUUGUCUGAUCCCCUAGAUACUUACCCUGAGGAUGAGGCCUUUGCUUUAAAAGUUGUUGAAUCAAUUAAACUGCAUCAAGAAGAAAAUGUACCAUUUCUAAAGUAACUUCAGACAAUGAUAUGUUCUACGAAACAUAGGUUUGCUUUCUAAUUUUUUGCCCGGAUAUAAUCUUAAUUUCUGUUGGGUUUUGUGUGACAAGUCUGCUUGUUAAUCUUGUAGUUUAAGGCAACCAUGCUAGUGUAAAAUCACUUGCGCGUUACGGUUUGAAUGAGAAAUAGGUUUUGGUUGAAAUUUCCAAAUGAUAUCGUAAUCUUAUUACCAAAAGCGAUGGUUGAAGAAGCAAUUCUUCGAAGAGAAAAAAGGUUAAUGCACUGUGAAAAAUGUUCUAUCAAGGGAUUACACAACCCUUUUGUAAAGACUGGGAAUCAAGCUCGGGAAGUGAAAGUAUUGACCUGAACGGAAGCUGGGGGAGUAGCCGUGCGGGUGAUCUUUGUAGGCAAGCAAAGUGAGAGUACUGAUUCAGACAAAGCAGGCACCCGGGUGAUCUUUGUAGGACAAACUCGGAAAAGUUAAAAGUACUGAUUCGACGAAAGAUGGGAAGCAUUGAGCCGGGUGACCAUUGUAGGCAAGCUCCAGGAGCUAUCGAGAUUGGGGUAACACUAGCAUACGCCAGGGUGUACUUCACCAUCAACUCAGCGAGCACGUUAUAAACGGGUGGGUCCCACUGGUCGGACGUACGCAACAUUUGCUCUGCCCCAAGAUGUCAGCGUCGUUUUCCGCGACUCGCAUGUGCGCAUGUUAGCGGAGCGCAGAGAGUGCCGCGGCCAUGCUGGAGGGAAGGGAGACAGAGUGGACCAAUGAGAAACCGCCAGCUAGGCAACGAGUGGAGAGUCUAAUUGGCACGUAGCCUUUGUAAUCAUCGGUGGCCUCCCGAGAAAUUCCGAAGUGAUUUAAGUACUGAGGAAAAAAGGCUGGCGCAUGUUAGCACGGGAGCAUUGCACAUGGCGCUCCCUCCCAUCAUGGUGCAUUCAUGGACCCUAUCUUAUAUUUUAAUUAAUCAUCCCAUUUCGCUUGUCAUGUCAA